UACGUAGGUGACUAGCGUUGUCCGGAUUUACUGGGCGUAAAGAGCGCGCAGGCGGUCGUUCAAGUCGAGUGUGAAAGCCCCCGGCUCAACUGGGGAGGGUCAUUCGAUACUGAUCGACUCGAAGGCAGGAGAGGGUAGUGGAAUUCCCGGUGUGGUGGUGAAAUGCGUAGAUAUCGGGAGGAACACCAGUGGCGAAGGCGACUACCUGGCCUGUUCUUGACGCUGAGGCGCGAAAGCUAGGGGAGCAAACGGG
rnacentral:rRNA from 1 species